CACAACCUUAGUGCAGAGGACCUGCUGUGAUCUGAAGGGCAUUCCUUUAGCAGAUAACACCUUGAAAACUGCAGAACGCCUGGGACCAGGGAACUAACUGGUGGUGGUUUUUAAUGCAUUUGCUUUUUCGCUGUGAACUCUGUUGAUAGUAUGUUCUUAUCACAGUUUUUGUUUAGAAAUGCCAUUGUAAAAUAUUUUUCAUCUUGCCCCUCCUAAUUAUCCUCUGCUUUCCUCUGUUUGGUUUUUUCCCUUUGAUUUAAUGAACCAAAUGAAUUUUAUGUCAUUGUCUUUGGGCCUUAAUCAUAUUUUUAAAAAAUAAAGGUAUAGAAAUUGGCUUUUUUUUUUUAAGAAAUUAUGCUGUAUCUGAAAAAGGACUCUGCCUUCGUUCUCUUAGUUGCCUUUCAGCCAGCCUCCACACGAACCUCCUGGCACUCCCUCCCCCUUCUUGUGUUGGGUCACUGUCCCCGUGGCCACCUUGGCCUCUGCCCUGCUGUCACCACAGCCCCAUGCCCAGGCACCCAGGACUCCCAGGAAGCUCUCAAGAGCCAGGAAGAAGGACCCACUUAGCCUUUUUGGCUCAGGAAGAACUUGGGAGAUGGAAAGUGACUUGACCAUGCCCAUCCUUCGUAGCUUUCUGUGACUUCUGGAUGGAACCUAAAGUGCCCCCACCCCACUCCCCCUCCUCCCUUCCUGCAGAUAUUCUUGUUCGCCGUCUCCGCGGCGCAUGGUUUCUCCCCACCGUCUCACUCCCCGUCACUUUUCACCCUUUCACUGUUGUGUUACUGCCCAUUUAAAGCUUUCUUCUGUGGCUUUCCCAGGGCACAAUCAUUUCUGGCCCCCAAAGCAUCUCCUCAUCCUCUUUCUGUGCGAUUUUUUUAACCAAAUGAAGUAGACCAGGAAGUCAUACUUUGGGGCAGCAGAGUUUCCAGUCUAGUAGAAUCACUGUAUAGAUAUAGAUGCUGAUAUACAUGUUUGUGUAUAUAUAUAUCAAACCAAAUUUCUGAUAGGAAAAGUAUAGCUUUACGGAUGAGGGGGGGAGAGGAGCUUUGAGAAGUCGGAGUCACCGUUGGUUGGAGGAUGGGAGGAGCCCGGGGCGGCCCAGGCUGCACCUUCGCACGUGGCCUGAGGCAGGGCGCCGGGCCCCGGCCACCACCCUGCCACAGUGGAGGCAGGUGGCCUCACAGGGAGCCGCUGCUCUCUCUGGGUCCCCAGCGACAAGGGCAUAGAUGAGUGAGGGGGGCAGCACAUCAGAAUGACCGGAAUUUUCCAUCCUGUUUUGCUUUGACCACAUGUAUUGAGCUGCAGCCUCUGAUAUUAUAUCACAUUUCCAAAAAUGAUAUGCAUUAGGAUGGAAAGAGAACGGAUCUGUAGAAAUGUUUACCUUUCAACUGCCCGCAAAUUCAGGACACUCUGGAUAGAAAGCCUCACUCCCCAGAAAGAGUGCAGGGAAGAGGAGGCCCGGUGAGACUCAGUCACUGGUCCCAGGAACGCGGUUCCUCCCCAGGGCUCUCUCGCCCAGAUCUUUCUCUACCAGGUCAUCUCAGCUCAAUUACCCUAUGGAAGCCCCGGCCUGUUGUGUUCCUUCACUGUACGGUUUCUGUAAUUAAAAAGUGUUAAUCCAUGUUAAUCUUUGUGAAAAUUAUUGCGUGCAACAGUAUUUUCUCGUGUACCUCUUUUUCCUAUGUGAAUUGUCCCUCUUUUCUUUUUUAUUUAUAAAUGUCUACUUUUUUAAAAAGACAAACCAAUGUGUUGUAGGCCUAUAUGUAACCUAUCCCUUAGUCUCAUAUUAUAGGUAUGUUAUAAGAAUGGAUAUUUUACUUGGCUUUAGAAUGUUUUACAAGAAAAAUAAUUCUUAACUGAUCAAGUCCUUGCUACUAAAAUGCUUGUGUUUUUCAUCCUGACGUCGUGUGCUUCUAAAUUAAUGAUCAUUUUCGUUGUAGAAAAAUGGAGUGAAUUUAUAUUAGUCUUGGAAACUAAUAAUAGCAUUGUAAAUUUAUGAGAUGAUUUUAACAGAAAAAAAAUUAUAGAAGAAUAUAGUUAUUUUAAUUGUAAUAUUACUAACUGUAGGGUGAGAAAGGGGGGGUCCCGUUGUGGUGAACUAUGUUAUAGCUUGUUACUCACAGUUUCUUUUUGAUCAUUUUUUCGGUCUCUGAGGUGAAACGAGUUAUUAAUUAAAAUUUGUAAACUCACAUAUGCAUAUUGUAUAUGUGUAGAAAUGUAAUCACACUUUGUCUUGGAAUUACAUUAAACUGUUUGGAAUCACUGUA